CUGUAAAUGAACUAAGCCAGAGUACAUCAAUGUCUUUAAGAAAACAUGACAAUAAGAAUGUAGCAAAGUUAAUGAAAAAGAAAUUACACAAAGUAUUCCAACAAAAUGACGAAAAAUUCGUAAUACAUGGAUUAAUAACAAGCGAGAAAUUAAACCUACACCACUAAGAAGGUACAGACGAAGCAUUUUUAACGUUUUAUUCAAUUUUUGAUGUAUAAUAUCAAAUAUUUACUGCGAUAGUUAACCUGAUAUUGUAAUUUAGGUUAGGCG